rnacentral:rRNA from 1 species
GAGCGCCGUAGCAAUACGGAGCGGCAGACGGGCAUAGUAACACGUGGGAACGUGCCCUUCAGUUCGGAACAACCCAGGGAAACUUGGGCUAAUACCGGAUACGUCCGUAAGGAGAAAGAUUUAUCGCUGAAGGAUCGGCCCGCGUCUGAUUAGCUAGUUGGUGGGGUAACGGCCCACCAAGGCGACGAUCAGUAGCUGGUCUGAGAGGAUGAUCAGCCUCACUGGGACUGAGACACGGCCCAGACUCCUACGGGAGGCAGCAGUGGGGAAUAUUGGACAAUGGGCGCAAGCCUGAUCCAGCCAUGCCGCGUGGGUGAUGAAGGCCCUAGGGUUGUAAAGCCCUUUCGGCGGGGAAGAUAAUGACGGUACCCGCAGAAGAAGCCCCGGCUAACUUCGUG